UACAGAGGGGGCAAGCGUUAUUCGGAAUUAUUGGGCGUAAAGGGCGCGUAGGCGGCUUGGCAAGUGGAUGGUGAAAUCCCUCGGCUUAACCGAGGAACUGCCGUCCAAACUGCUUCGCUUGAGACCGGGAGAGGUGAGUGGAAUUCCCAGUGUAGCGGUGAAAUGCGUAGAUAUUGGGAGGGACACCAGUGGCGAAGGCGGCUCACUGGACCGGUACUGACGCUGAUGCGCGAAAGCGUGGGGAGCAAACGGG
rnacentral:rRNA from 1 species